CAGGAUGAUUUUGUUUUAGGUCUUCCCCGGUAAUGAGGUAUUGUCUUCCUCCAGAGAAGGAGACUCCCAGCAGCAGCUACACCCAGACCCUCCCGGGGCUCCGCUCUCUGCAGCCUCCAAGCCCAGGAUCCCGGCUGGGCUGGGGUCCUCCGCGGCGGUGCUGAGCCGGCGGACCCGGUCUCGAGGCGGCCCAGGGACCGGGCUGAGAGGGAGCCACCAACGCACCCGCCCCCCCUGGUGGAGGAAGGGAGAUUGCAGCCCGAGGCUAUCUGGAUUUUUGCCAGGGCCUCCCUGUCGGGAAGAAUCGCAGCUUUGCUACUUUAUGGCUAAAAGACAGUCUUCAAUUUUCUCUUCCUCUUCCUUCGGAUGCUCCAUAACCAGAUGCCUUUGAUCCCUACCCUGGAGCUGUUCCAGUCGUCCACUGCUGUGUCGUAAGCCAUCCGCAAGCUGGUUGCCUCAAACUGCCACCGUCCGUGAAGCUGCCAGAUUCCGUGUGCCCAGAAUUCGGACGGGGUACCACAGGGGGGGUUGUUUCUGCUCCAUGAUGUCUGAAGCCGCGCCUGGGAAGACUCAGCUGGCCGGGGGGCUGGGACCAGCUGGACGCUUCUCGGCGCACAUCGAGCAUUUUGGCUGGGGUGGCUGGAGGCGGGGGAGCUUGGGGCCUCCAGGCUGCCCCUCCGUGGGGCUCGUGCGUCUUCAGAGUGGGGAGGCCUCUUACGUGGUGGGUCAGGGUGUCGAGUGGGUAUCCCAGCGAACAAGGCCGAAGCUGCCUGGCCUUUUAUGACCCAGUGCGACAGACUGAUGUCUGUGUCUUCCCAAGGUUCAUGCGUUGAAAUCUUCAUCUCCCAUGUGGUGGUAUUUAGUAGUGAAGCCUCUGGGAGAUAAUUAGGUUUAAAGAUUUUCUUUAUUUAUUUUGAGAGAAAGAGAGAGAGAGCAGCACAAGGGGAGGGGCAGAGAGAGAGAGAGAAUCUCAAGCAGACUCUGCUGAGCACAGAGCCUGACUUGGGGCUCCAUCUCGUGAUUAUGACCUGAGCUGAAAUCGAGUCAGAUGCUCGACCGACUGAGCCACCCCGGUGCCUCUGGGAAGUAAUUGGGUUUAGAUGAGGUCAUGAGAGUGGGGCCCCCAUGAUGGCAUUGGUGCCCCCAUAAGAAGACAAAGAGAGACCAGAGCUUUCUCUCUCUGCCAUGUGAGGACACAGCCAGAAGGCUGUCAUCUGCAAACCAGGAAGAGAGCUCUCGCCAGAUACCAAAUCUGCCAGCCCUUGACCUGGGACUUCCUAGCUCCAGAACUGUGAGAAAUCAAUGUUUGUCAUUUAAGCCACCCAGUCUGUGGUGUUUUGUGACAGUAGCCCGAGUUGACUGGGACACCAGCCACAGAAGGCCCAGAGGGCCAUUUCCACAGGACUCUGUUGGUCUGAGUGGCCAUGAGCCUGAGAAAGGAGAGGGGGGACACACGCUGGCUUCUGGCUGGGAGCAGCGUUACAGAACUUGGAGCCAUCUUUUAAAACUACCACAAACCCCCAAUACUAUUUGUCAGAAUCAGAAAGAUUUACCUUAAGGUACUUUACACAUAUAUGUGUACACUGGGUAGAUGAAUGAGGAAGCCAACAUAUUAUGAUGGUUAAGAGUCUAAGAUUAAGGGGCACCUGGGUCGCUCAGGUGGUUGAGGGCCCGACUCUUGAUUUUGGCUCAGGUCGUGAUCUCGGGGUCGAGAGGGGGGGCCCCGGCAUGGGGCUCUGCACUGGGCAUGGAGCCUGCUUAGAAUUUUCUCUCUCCUUCUCCUUCUGCCCCCUACCCUGCCACUCAUGCACGCUCUGUCUCUUAGAGAGAGAGAGAGAGAGAGAGAGAGAGAGAGAGAAGGAGUCUAAGGUUAAAAUCAAACAGAACUGAGUUCAAACUGGCUCAGCCACUGGACUGUGUGUCUGGAAACAAGACACUUCCCCUCUCCACAUCUCCGUUUCCUCGCUGGCAACACGAGGAUAAUAACAUCUACCUUACUGGGUUUGAGUAUGGGUUGUUUUUUUUUGUUUGUUUGUUUUUGUUUUUUCUUGAGGAUAACACAGGGCAGGAGAUGUGAAGAACUUGGGCCACAGGAGACAUUCAGAAAAUGGUAGUCUCUUUUCCUUACAUUACCUCAGAAGCUAAAUUUCCAUUAUUUCUAUUAUCUCAGACUUGCCAAGGUUUGCUACUGUGGCGCAUCUUCACAGAGAUAGGGAAAGAAGAGCUGUCUCUCUUCAGGGGACAACACCCCCAUUCUUUCGGGGAACCGCUCAUCCCCCCUGCGGCCAACCAACAUGUCCAAAUGGGAGUGGCCAUCUUCUGCCAGUCAGUCCCAGUGAUUGUUCCAGUUUCUGACCAAAAAGCUGGACUGGGGUCAUCACAUUCUGCCUCCCACCUUCAUGACGGGUCUGGAGAAGGGCGCAUGACCCCAGAGAGUCGAUCACUUUCUUGGAGAUUUUGCCCCUCUAUUGUCAACUACCUGUGAGGGACACGAGCUGCCCCUCGAAUCCAGGAUUUUCGGAUAGCCACGAUCCCAGACUUAUGGAGAAACCAGUUCAACGAAAGGAGGUCGUCAUGCAGGAAGACAGCAUGAGAAGCAGGAACAGGAGGUACACAGGGGGUCCUGGUACCACGAGGUCCCACGGCCGGGUGCCCACAGCUGUCCUUCUGCACCUUUCUGGUGACAGAGUCUGUCCCUUCCUGUGAAUUGUUUUCUUCCUUUGCAGCCACAAGAAUUCUGAGUCACUAACUACUCUGACUUACACAUUGUUUUAUUAGGAAUGUGAAUUGUCCAUAAAGUCCAGUACAUUCGCUGCUCCAAGGAAACAAGGGCAUGACUCUGACACACCUCGAAAGUGACCCAAGUGUGGAGAGUUGCCUGCGAACUUGAGUUUCCUGAAAGUCUCUGCAGCUUCCGUCCUUGAACAUGAUGCUCUGGGCAAGGAAACCCUUCGGGAGGCUCCCUUUUCCAUACCUGUCGUCAGGCUCUCUCGCCUCUAGGUUCUGUCCUAACAAGAUGACCCUUGGGCCUAGCCUGCAGUUCGGCUACACUGGGCCCAGGGCUCCUGUCCCCCCACUCCAGGCUCAGAAAAAGAAGACUGGAGAUUAGACACACGUGCCCUCUGGGCACUGCCUGAGAAGAAACCCCUUGAAAGCCAUGUGCUCCGGUACUGUUCAUCUCUCCUCUAACUGAGGCGUUGGCUUCGGGGGAAAAAAUAGUUUGGUUAGAACAUAAACAAACGAUGUCUCUAAAAGUAGAAAAGAAUCUUAUUCAGAAGCUAAGCUGCGGAGAUAAAAGCCAUCUUUAGUUUAUAAAACGAGACGCCAGGGUCGUGGAAAGACAGGGAAGGUGUCUGUGUGGAGAGAAGGCAGAGCGAGUGACAUAAACCUGCAGGAGGACAUGAGGUGUGUUCUAGCCUUUCUGGAAUGACCUCUUCCUUGUUCUUUUACGCUGCGACUACACUUUGCAACGUGUGGCGUGUGCGGGGGGAGCUGGCUGGGGACUGGGAAGGAAGGUCCUUCCUCUAGCUCCAUCUCGCUGUUCUCCAAGAGGAGGAGGCCAAGAUCUCUCUGGGCAGAGGCUGCGUUAUGGGCUGGGCUACGCGUGGCCCGGGUCAUUGUACUUGAACUCAUUCUGCCUGGCUGGUCAGCCUCCUUCCUGUUCCCCGCAUCUGUGGUCUGAGGAGUGAAGCUGAUGGGACCCUGCCUUGCCCCUUCUUUCCUUCUGUCUCUUGCUGGUGCUUUCCUGCCAUGAAGCUGGGAAAAUCCAGAGAGGGGGCCUUCAGUAGAAUGAGUCGGGAGGUGGUGGGGACAGGGGAGCUCUCCUGCAGAUCCCACAGGAGGAGACGGACCUCAUUCACCUUGUACGUGGUUUCCACUUCGCUGCCGCAUCAGGAGGAGGCAAGGCUCUCCUCCUCCCCCCACCGCAGCCCAGCCAGUGACGGACGCUCCCGCCAUGAGAAGCCGCCCUGCAUCCGCUCCCAGGGGACGCUGACGGACCUCGUGUUUACCAUGGCCUUUCCUCUACACAAGAGCGUACCUCUCCUUUGCUCUUGCGUGUUCUGGGUUGCCAUUCUCUGGUCUUCUCGAAUAAACCCUUCUCUUCCUGGUGAAAUAA